GCUUGCUUAAAUUUAAACCAUCUAGGGGAUGGCUUGGCUAUAGCAGCGACGAAAGUCGUGGCAAGCUGCGAUAAGCCCGGGGUAGCCGCAAGUCAGGCUUUGAACCCGGGAUUACUGAAUUGCACCCGAAAGGGUGUGCACACUCGGGGAACUGAAAUAUCUUAGUACCCGAAGGAAAAGAAAGCGCAACGCGAUGCGGCUAGUAAAGCGAUUGAAUGCCGCAGAGGGCAAACUGAAUCCGUGCUUGCAAAAGCAUGAGAGAUGUGGUGCAGCGUUUCAUCCGCAACAUGGGCCGAACGCUCUGGAAAGAGCGGCCACAGGGAGUGACAGCCUCGUAGGCGAAGUGAAGCGGAGAUAGCUGUGAGAGAGUAGCUCUGCUUGGUUAUGCAGAAUGAAGACGGGGGCAUUAAACCCUAACCCUAAAUAUUGGCUAUAGACCGAUAGUGAACAAGUAGCGCGAGCGAAAGCUGAAAAGAACCCACACGCGUGGGAUUGAAAUCAGAUCUGAAACUAGAUGGUAACACGAAGGUAAGGCGCGGAAGGAAUGAAGCACCUCAAAGCGAAGAUGCGAGAGCAUACAGCGAGGGGUGUGGAACAGUGUCUUAUCAUUCUUCUUGAAGCAAGAGCCAGGGAGUGUAUAGGAGUGGCGAGCCGGAAGGCGUAGCGAAAGCGAGAGCGCGUAACAUGUGAGGCGCACGGUAUGAAAAUGCCGAAGUCACCCUUAUACGACCCGAAGCCAUUGUGAACUACGCGCGCCCAAGACGAAGCUAGGCUAACGCCUGGUGGAGGUCUGCAACCUGUCAUGGCAUGUCCUGUUGGGUGAGGUGCGGGUAGCGGCGAUAUACCACUCGAACAUGGCAAUAGCGGGUCCCUUCUGAAGUAUCUUUAGGAUAGCUCCGGGCGAGUUUGCGUAUGCGGUAGAGCACUGAAUAGUUGGUAAGGAUCCGAGAGGGUCCACCAACUUAUCAAACUCCGAAUGCAUACGCUGCGUAGACCCCGGGAGUCGGCGAGGUUGGGUAAGCUAGCCUCGCGAGACUGCAAAGAUAGUGACUGAGGUUAAGGUCCCUAAAUCCUAGUUAAGUGUCUUAAAAGUAGGGGUUGUCUCAGACAGUUGGGAGGUAGGCUCAGAAGCAGCCACCCUUUAAAAAACGCGUUAUAGCGUACCAAUCAAGACAAUCUUUACUGAAGAUAUACGGGACUAAACUAGGUACCGAGACCCCAGAGUGCGAAAGCACUGGUAAGAAGGCGUAUGGCACGGCAAGAAGCUGGUCCGAAAGGACCUGUGGACCGUGUCAUAGGGAAAAUCCUGGUAUAAGUAACAUCAUAUAUGGGUAAGAAUCCCAUACACCGGAAGCACAAGGUUUUCUUCGCAACGCUCGUCAGCGGAGAGUUAGGCGAUCCUAAGCCAUAGGCCAAUCACCAUAUGGCAAAAGGGAAGCUGGUUAAUAUCCCAGCCCCUA
rnacentral:rRNA from 1 species